rnacentral:rRNA from 1 species
AUUGAACGCUGGCGGCAGGCCUAACACAUGCAAGUCGAGCGAGCGGCGGACGGGUGAGUAAUGUAUGGGGACUGCCCGAUAGAGGGGGAUAACUACUGGAAACGGUAGCUAAUACCGCAUACUAUCGGAUAACCCAUAUGGGAUUAGCUAUGAGGUGAGGUAACUGCUCACCUAGGCGACGAUCCGUAGCUGGUUUGAGAGGACGACCAGCCACACUGGUACUGAGACACGGCCCAGACUCCUACGGAGGCAGCAGUGGGGAAUGUUGGACAAUGGUGGAAACCCUGAUCCAGCCAUCCCGCGUGUAUGAUGAAGGCCUUCGGGUUGUACAGUACUUUUGGCAGAGAAGCGGUAUCUGCAGAAUAAGCACCUGCUAACUAUGUGCCAGCAGCCGCGGUAAUUC